AUACUCACCAGGCAGGGAGAUCCAGGAUGAUGUGCAUCCAUUGCAUUCCAGAUGUGCUGACCCCUGUGAUUUCUACAAGUGCCAGAAACUCAACUGCAUAGCUUGUUGGGGGCUUUCUUUCCACGUUCCCCGU
rnacentral:snRNA from 1 species